AUAACAAUACCGAGCUCUAUGAGUCUGGUAAUUGGAAUGAGUACAAUCUAAAUCCCUUAACGAGGAUCUAUUGGAGUUCAAGUCUAGUGCCAGCAGCCGCGGUAAUUCCAGCUCCAA
rnacentral:rRNA from 1 species